rnacentral:rRNA from 1 species
UACAGAGGGCGCAAGCGUUAUUCGGAUUCACUGGGCAUAAAGAGCACGUAGGCGGCUACGUAAGUCGGAUGUGAAAUCCCGCGGCUCAACCGCGGAAUGGCAUCCGAUACUGCGUGGCUCGAGGUCGGAAGGGGUAAGCGGAACUCCAGGUGGAACGGUGAAAUGUGUAGAUAUCUGGAGGAACACCGGUGGCGAAGGCGGCUUACUGGUCCGAAUCUGACGCUGAGGUGCGAAAGCUAGGGGAGCGAACGGGAUUAGAUACCCCGGUAGUCCUAGCCGUAAACGAUGGGCACUAGGCAAUGGAUCAUCCCUAUGGGGUUCAUUGCCGUAGCAAAUGUGUUAAGUGCCCCGCCUGGGGAGUACGCUCGCAAGGGUAAA